GAGUUUGAUCUUGGCUCAGAUUGAACGCUGGCGGCAUGCCUUACACAUGCAAGUCGAACGGCAGCACGGGAGCUUGCUCCUGGUGGCGAGUGGCGAACGGGUGAGUAAUGCAUCGGAACGUAUCCUGGAGUGGGGGAUAACGUAGCGAAAGUUACGCUAAUACCGCAUAUUCUGUGAGCAGGAAAGCGGGGGACCUUCGGGCCUCGCGCUCUUGGAGCGGCCGAUGUCGGAUUAGCUAGUUGGUGAGGUAAAGGCUCACCAAGGCGACGAUCCGUAGCAGGUCUGAGAGGAUGAUCUGCCACACUGGAACUGAGACACGGUCCAGACUCCUACGGGAGGCAGCAGUGGGGAAUUUUGGACAAUGGGGGCAACCCUGAUCCAGCCAUGCCGCGUGAGUGAAGAAGGCCUCGGUU
rnacentral:rRNA from 12 species